UUGAUGUUCUUAAAUAACCCACCGGAAACCAGGAAGAAGUGGGCUGGCCGUGAGUGAAAGCGCGCAUGAUCUGUACAGGAGACAAAGUUGGGCGAAUUCCAAACGGAACUAACGGACUUCUGGAAGGGCCCUUCAUUGAAGAUGAAAAAGAGGAGGAUGAUGACGGUCCAGCGCAUACAAAGAGAAAGAAACCAAGAGAAGUGUCAUCGCAGAAGAAAUGGCAGAAGUUCCUCAGACACCUGUGAACACCGAGCAGUGCACAUCAUCUUCAUUAUACUUCUCUGACUGGAAUAGCAAGGAACAGUUAGAGUCCAUGACUACACGUCUGCACUGACCUUGAUUAUACUUUAUAAUAUAAUGUUUUCUGCAACA